rnacentral:rRNA from 1 species
CCUACGGGAGGCAGCAGUGGGGAAUAUUGGACAAUGGGCGAAAGCCUGAUCCAGCAAUGCCGCGUGAGUGAAGAAGGCCUUCGGGUUGUAAAGCUCUUUUACCCGGGAAGAUAAUGACUGUACCGGGAGAAUAAGCCCCGGCUAACUCCGUGCCAGCAGCCGCGGUAAUACGGAGGGGGCUAGCGUUGUUCGGAAUUACUGGGCGUAAAGCGUACGUAGGCGGCUUUGUAAGUCAGAGGUGAAAGCCCACGACUCAAUCGUGGAACUGCCUUUGAGACUGCUUCGCUUGAAGAUGGGAGAGGUUAGUGGAAUUCCGAGUGUAGAGGUGAAAUUCGUAGAUAUUCGGAAGAACACCAGUGGCGAAGGCGGCUAACUGGACCAUUCUUGACGCUGAGGUACGAAAGCGUGGGGAGCAAACAGGAUUAGAUACCCUGGUAGUCCACGCCGUAAACGAUGAUAACUAGCUGUCGGGGCUCUUGGAGCUUCGGUGGCGCAGCUAACGCAUUAAGUUAUCCGCCUGGGGAGUACGGCCGCAAGGUUAAACUCAAAUGAAUUGACGG